rnacentral:rRNA from 2 species
AUAAGAUGAGAGUUUGAUCCUGGCUCAGGACGAACGCUGGCGGCAUGCCUAAUACAUGCAAGUCGAACGAGCUUCCGUUGAAUGACGUGCUUGCACUGAUUUUAACAAUGAAGCGAGUGGCGAACUGGUGAGUAACACGUGGGAAAUCUGCCCAGAAGCAGGGGAUAACACUUGGAAACAGGUGCUAAUACCGUAUAACAACAAAAUCCGCAUGGAUUUUGUUUGAAAGGUGGCUUCGGCUAUCACUUCUGGAUGAUCCCGCGGCGUAUUAGUUAGUUGGUGAGGUAGAGGCCCACCAAGACGAUGAUACGUAGCCGACCUGAGAGGGUAAUCGGCCACAUUGGGACUGAGACACGGCCCAAACUCCUACGGGAGGCAGCAGUAGGGAAUCUUCCACAAUGGACGAAAGUCUGAUGGAGCAAUGCCGCGUGAGUGAA